rnacentral:rRNA from 1 species
GAUGAACGCGGCGGCGUGCCUAAUACAUGCAAGUAGAACGCUGAAGGAGGAGCUUGCUUCUCUGGAUGAGUUGCGAACGGGUGAGUAACGCGUAGGUAACCUGCCUGGUAGCGGGGGAUAACUAUUGGAAACGAUAGCUAAUACCGCAUAAGAGCAGUUGUUGCAUGACAGCUGUUUAAAAGGUGCAAUUGCACCACUACCAGAUGGACCUGCGUUGUAUUAGCUAGUUGGUGAGGUAACGGCUCACCAAGGCGACGAUACAUAGCCGACCUGAGAGGGUGAUCGGCCACACUGGGACUGAGACACGGCCCAGACUCCUACGGGAGGCAGCAGUAGGGAAUCUUCGGCAAUGGGGGCAACCCUGACCGAGCAACGCCGCGUGAGUGAAGAAGGUUUUCGGAUCGUAAAGCUCUGUUGUAAGAGAAGAAACGAGUGUGAGAGUGGAAAG